GACGAACGCUGGCGGCGUGCCUAAUACAUGCAAGUAGAACGCUGAAGGAGGAGCUUGCUUCUCUGGAUGAGUUGCGAACGGGUGAGUAACGCGUAGGUAACCUGCCUGGUAGCGGGGGAUAACUAUUGGAAACGAUAGCUAAUACCGCAUAAUAGUAGAUGUUGCAUGACAUUUGCUUAAAAGGUGCAAUUGCAUCACUACCAGAUGGACCUGCGUUGUAUUAGCUAGUUGGUGAGGUAACGGCUCACCAAGGCGACGAUACAUAGCCGACCUGAGAGGGGGAUCGGCCACACUGGGACUGAGACACGGCCCAGACUCCUACGGGAGGCAGCAGUAGGGAAUCUUCGGCAAUGGACGGAAGUCUGACCGAGCAACGCCGCGUGAGUGAAGAAGGUUUUCGGAUCGUAAAGCUCUGUUGUAAGAGAAGAACGAGUGUGAGAGUGGAAAGUUCACACUGUGACGGUAUCUUACCAGAAAGGGACGGCUAACUACGUG
rnacentral:rRNA from 1 species